rnacentral:rRNA from 1 species
GACGAACGCUGGCGGCGUGCUUAACACAUGCAAGUCGAACGGAAAGGCCCUGCUUUUGUGGGGUGCUCGAGUGGCGAACGGGUGAGUAACACGUGAGUAACCUGCCCUUGACUUUGGGAUAACUUCAGGAAACUGGGGCUAAUACCGGAUAGGAGCUCCUGCUGCAUGGUGGGGGUUGGAAAGUUUCGGCGGUUGGGGAUGGACUCGCGGCUUAUCAGCUUGUUGGUGGGGUAGUGGCUUACCAAGGCUUUGACGGGUAGCCGGCCUGAGAGGGUGACCGGCCACAUUGGGACUGAGAUACGGCCCAGACUCCUACGGGAGGCAGCAGUGGGGAAUAUUGCACAAUGGGCGGAAGCCUGAUGCAGCAACGCCGCGUGCGGGAUGACGUCCUUCGAGUUGUAAACCGCUUUCGCCUGUGACGAAGCGUGAGUGACGGUAAUGGGUAAAGAAGCACCGGCUAACUACGUG